GGAAGAGUGGUGGGGGCAGGUCUGCAGGUUAGUCUGAAAAACUAAAGGUAUAGGUUCGAUUCCUGUCUGCUCCA
rnacentral:tRNA from 1 species